rnacentral:rRNA from 1 species
AAGCUCGUAGUUGAAUUUCGGGGUCAGUAGGUUGGUCAUGCCACUGGUAUGUACUGGUCUCACUGAUUCCUCCUUCCUGAUGAGCCGUAAUGCCAUUAAUUUGGUGUUGCGAGGAAUCUGGACUGUUACUUUGAAAAAAUUAGAGUGUCUAAAGCAGGCUAACGCUUGAAUACAUUAGCAUGGAAUAAUGAAAUAGGACGUUCGAUCUUAUUUUGUUGGUUUCUAAGAUUGACGUAAUGAUUAAUAGGGAUAGUUGGGGGCAUUAGUAUUCAAUUGUCAGAGGUGAAAUUCUUGGAUUUAUUGAAGACUAACUACUGCGAAAGCAUUUGCCAAGGAUGUUUUCAUUAAUCAAGAACGAAAGUUAGGGGAUCGAAGACGAUCAGAUACCGUCGUAGUCUUAACCAUAAACUAUGCCGACUAGGGAUCGGAUGAUGUUAAUUUUUUAAUGACUCAUUCGGCGCCUUACGGGAAACCAAAGUGUUUGGGUUCCGGGGGGAGUAUGGUCGCAAGGCUGAAACUUAAAGGAAUUGACGGAAGGGCACCACCAGGGGUGGAGCCUGCGGCUUAAUUUGACUCAACACGGGGAAACUCACCAGGUCCAGACAUAGUAAGGAUUGACAGACUGAGAGCUCUUUCUUGAUUCUAUGGGUG